rnacentral:misc_RNA from 1 species
CCGAAAUCAAGGCACAUGUAGCAUUGACCCUAACCCCAAAGAACAAAACUCAAACGAACAUUUUACAAGCUCCAACAAAGAGGAGAGCCCCCCUUUAUAAGAUUUCCCAAUUCUCACUCAUUCCCGGCGAUCCCCCCGAGCCGUGAUUUGCACUCCAACACCUCAGAAUUAGCCUAUUCCUCUCUUUUUCUUAUUUUCUUUUUUAUCCAUGCUCUUCGUUUUGAGUUUCAAACUACAUAAUUGAAUUUAGGUGUUUCUCAC